rnacentral:rRNA from 1 species
UGGUGGUGUGAGUUGUCUGGUUGAUUCCGUUAACGAACGAGACCUUUGUUGUAUAAUACGAGGCGCUAGUUUUUGCGUCAAGGGUGGUGGUUCCUUCUCGAGAUACGAGCAAUCGCCUUGGGAAAAGAGCCAUCACUUGCAUAGCUAGCGUCAGUUUCGUUCUAUACAAGACAAAUACAGAAAAUGUAUUGGAAGUUAUAGGCAAAAACA